GAUGAAGAACGCAGCGAAAUGCGAUAAGUAGUGUGAAUUGCAGAAGUACCGUGAAUCAUCGAAUCUUUGAACGCAAAUUGCACUCUCUGGUAUUCCGGGGAGUAUGCCUGUUUGAGGGUCGCUUAACAAACCAUCGAUUUCGUUGCUUUUUUUUAAAAAGUGAUGUUUAUCGGAUUUGAGCCGUCUUUUUUUUUUAUAUUUAAGUGGCUUAAAAUUGAUUUUUUUGGUACGAUCGAAGCGUAUUUUUAUGAUCAAUUUUUGGUUAAAGAAACGCACACGUACCGUUAUUUAUAUGAUGUAAUACGUUUGACUAUUGGAUUUAGUUCAUUCGUAUACGAUAUUUUUCAAUAUUUGACCUCAAAUCAGGUAAGAACACCCGCUGAACUUAAGCAUAUCAAUAAGCGGAGGA
rnacentral:misc_RNA from 1 species